UAGGAAGUAGUGUAGUAGAAGCACUAAGAGUUUUGAUCUCUUCAGGAGGGGUGCGAGGCCCCUCUUUCUAG
rnacentral:tRNA from 1 species